GGUGUUGCUCGAGGGGUCGUAAGGAGAUCAUCAAGAAGAGUUGCAGACUUGCCAAGGGCGAUGUAUGGCACAAUAGGAGACGAAGAAGACUGCACUUUCUCCUCGACUGCCUUCUGAGUUGUCUUGUUAUCUGCUCUUUCAGAUGUUGGUAACAAACUGUCAGAGGUAGAAGACUGACUGGUCAUUACUGAAAUUCAUGCGGUGAUUGAAAAUAAUGAAAACAAUGACUUGAUCAAGCUGAAACUCUGGCCGAAAAAAAGAAACCGUCAUGAGCUGGAAGCAAAAUGUACUUCCCAGGAAAGUGAAAUUGGUAUAAAGCUGUUUGCAUGUUGGGUGCUAUUUGACUUAGAAAAGUCUCAGAGUUACAGUACUGCUCAAAG